GCAGAAGCGCCGUCGUUGGAGAGGCGGGGCGGGCUGUAAACCCGUUGCCACGCGCUGAGCAGGUUCGAAUCCUGCCUUCUGCA
rnacentral:tRNA from 1 species